AACGCUAGCUACAGGCUUAACACAUGCAAGUCGAGGGGCAGCAUAGAAGUAGCAAUACUUUGGUGGCGACCGGCGCACGGGUGAGUAACGCGUAUGCAACCUACCUAUCAGAGGGGAAUAACCCGGCGAAAGUCGGACUAAUACCGCAUAAAACAGGGGCACCGCAUGGUGAUAUUUGUUAAAGAAAUUCGCUGAUAGAUGGGCAUGCGUUCCAUUAGGUAGUUGGUGAGGUAACGGCUCACCAAGCCGACGAUGGAUAGGGGAACUGAGAGGUUGGUCCCCCACACUGGUACUGAGACACGGACCAGACUCCUACGGGAGGCAGCAGUGAGGAAUAUUGGUCAAUGGGCGGGAGCCUGAACCAGCCAAGUCGCGUGAAGGAAGAAGGAUCUAUGGUUCGUAAACUUCUUUUGCAGGGGAAUAAAGUGCAGGACGUGUCCUGUUUUGUAUGUACCCUGAGAAUAAGGAUCGGCUAACUCCGUGCCAGCAGCCGCGGUAAUACGGAGGAUCCGAGCGUUAUCCGGAUUUAUUGGGUUUAAAGGGUGCGUAGGUGGUUUGAUAAGUCAGCGGUGAAAGUUUGCAGCUUAACUGUAAAAAUGCCGUUGAAACUGUCGGACUUGAGUGUAAAUGAGGUAGGCGGAAUGCGUGGUGUAACGGUGAAAUGCAUAGAUAUCACGAAGAACUCCGAUUG
rnacentral:rRNA from 1 species